rnacentral:rRNA from 1 species
AUGGUCACCAGCUCCCCCUCCGCGCCAUUGCUGUGCCACAGCAAAGACUUGCGCAUUGUGGUUUUGGUGAGAGGUGGAGGAUCUUGGCUUGAGCCUUGGGAGGAGGUGUCUUCUCCUAGAGCACUUGACAAGCAUGGCAGACGAGGGGCUGGAGCUCGGCGAGAGGUGGAAGAAGAAGCAGCAGUUGGCUUCGAUGAGCAAUCCACCGAUUCGAUGGCCCUGAUCUUGCCGAGGGCACGGUUCACCUUGCUGAUCUUCCGGAAUGGCCAUCUCGAUAUGCCGUGCUGCCUGCAGAUGCGCUUCAUCGUCGUCGGGCACACUGUAGAACAAGAGUUUCAGUUGGCUCAUACACUAAAACUUUUCAAUCUACGAAUGCCAAAUUUCGACAUGUUUUGA